CUAACGCUUUGAUUGCAUGUGACCAUUGUACGCAUGCGCACUUCAAUCAAAAACACGGUGACGCGUCUGUGCGUAAACAACCGUUGAGACAUUUAAAGAGUCAGCUGUCAGAAAGACACGAAGCGACAACAACACCGGCUGUUUCAAACUGUUGGACUCUGAGCUACUAUGCAGCAUGACCCCACCAGGACCUCGUCAGUGUUUCUCCUCUGUGAAAGAAGACCCUCCCUGACAUCCACCUGCAGCACCCCGCCUCAAAACUUUGCUGAAAUGCUGCCGACAGAAAUCAGCAUGAAGAUCUUCGGCGAGCUGGACGCAGAGAGUCUGUGCAGCGCCUCAUUGACCUGCAAGCUGUGGCAUCACCUCAUCGAAGAGAGCAGCCAGCUGUGGAGGAGGCAGUGUCUGCUGGUCAGAGCCGUCUGCCAGAGGGAGGUCGACAGCGACCGGAGGGACGGCCUCUCCUGGAAGGUCACGCUGGUGAGGAACUACACUCGCUGCUGUUUGAAGCGAGACUGGCUGAGAGGACGUUACAGCCACGUGAGGUCAGCCGAGGAGCUGAACGGCAGGAAGAUGACGCCGCUGGACACCGAGACCUGGGGAGAGAUCCUGCAGGCCGAGCUGGACAGAUGAAGGAUGCCAGCAUGCCACUCGUGGUUUCACAACCUGCAAGUCUCUUCACGCUGGAAGAAAUACCACAGCAGAGCUCAACACAAAUAUAAUCAGAAUCAGCUUUAGUGCCAGUUGGGUUCACACACAGAAGGAAUUUGCUUUGGUGCAUAACAACAAACCAUAGCAGGUAGAAAAUAGAACAAAUAUAAACACAGACAGGGCGGUGGCCCAAUGGACAACACUGCACCCUAACAGCAAGAAGAUCUUGGGAUGAAACAUCAAUUGUCCCAGGCCCCUCUGUGUGGAGUUUGCAUGUUGUCUCUGUGUUUGCAUAGCACUAUUAUGAGAGCUGCAUCACAUUAAUAUC